GCCCUGGGUGGGCAACGGUAGCGCGUCUGACCCCCAAUCAGAAGGUUGCGUGUUCGAAUCACGCCCGGGGUCA